CAGGAACCUGGGAGUUUCUGUUUUUGCUCUACUGCCCUGUGAAGAAGGCCUCAGGGUUGAUUGGGGCUGGUUAGACAUUGGCCCCGGAGAGUGUCUCUUUGGAGCCUUCAGAGAGCUGCCUUGGAAGAAUGGCACGCAUGCCUAUUGAAUUUCUCUUUCAGGCUUUUGGGCUCAUUAUGAUUCUGAGGGCAUGUUUUCCUUUGAUUCAGAUCAUAAGUUCCUUGAGAACACUGACUACCUCCCCUGUGCCUCAAGAAGAACCUUGAGCAUGUCUUGCCACGCUCAAAGAAUUUAUCAGCUAUCUGCCAACCUAUUGGAGACGAGUCUCUCCAUAUUUGGUGAGACUGAUGUUCAGCCAUCUGCUGCUGGGACCAAGUCUUCCAGAAUGAUGAUGGUGAUGCUUGUCCACUAUUUUCUUCCUGAUCUGAAGGGGCUCAUCUUUUUAUGAACUGAUCCUCUGUAUAAACCAUGAGCCCUUGAAAUUGGUAAUCUUUUCUUGUUUCCCUCAUUUCUGGAUAUACAUAAGCACUGAAUAAUAAUAACUCUCAUUUUGGGGUUUACAAGGGACUUCCAUCACCACCUCUUCUAUGGGAUAGGUAUUCCCAUUUUGUAGAUAAAGAAAUCAAGAUGUUAAAUUAAUUGCCCUCAAUCACACAGGUAGCAAACAUAUCCUAGCCAGCUAGAAUUUGAACUAAAGUCUCUCUUAAUUUAAAACUUUAUAUGUUUUCCCUUAAAACAUGCUGCUGCUUCUAUAACAUCCCUUGUACCUAUUUUUCUCUAUCUAUCUAGCCAAUUCCCUUCCUCCUUUCAUAGCCCCUCUUUUUUUCUUUUUAUUAGUAAUUUUAUUUACAUAUUUUAUUGUGAAAUUAGUCAUCAACAAGUAUGGAUAUUUUAGAAUACAAAGAGUAACAAGGAGUUCAAAACCAUGAAUGUCUUUUGUGUACAAUUUUUGUUGUGCUUUAAAAAAGUGUAUAUUUCGGGGCAGCUGGGUAGUUCAGUGGAUUGAGAACCAGGCCUAGG
rnacentral:lncRNA from 1 species